GCCGCCCCGCCUGCCCGCACCCUCCCCGCUGCCCGGAUUGUGAAGUGCGCAGAACCAUCCUCAGCCUCGUGGGCGUGCGCCAGGACCCUGUUUGCCUCACCGUGAUACACAGCAAGGAAGGGAUGCCAGACACAGUGCAACCCUAAGGCACAACUAUGUUUGUUUAUGAUAUGGGAGAAAGAAGAAUUAUAUUCUAAUAAACAAAUGUUCUUGAAAACGUUUCUACGCUACAGCACGUGUGCAGUGGACAGAAGUUUCUAGGAAAGAUCCACCCUCUUAAAUCUAUCAAAGAAAAGACAAGACUGAGUUAUCAGCAUACCUGUCCAUAAACUGUAAGACGAAAUCUUCAAAUUCAGCUGUGGCCGAACAAAGUUCUUUUUCGAUCUAUAACAUUGCAAUGUGCAAAAAAAAUUACAAAUAUGUUUUAACUUUUUUCCUUCUGAACUAAUAAAAUUCAAUUAUGGCCUAAU